rnacentral:tRNA from 1 species
GCUGCUGUGGUGUACUGGCUAGCAUGUGGGCCUGUGGCGCCUUAGGACCGGGUUCGAUUCCCGGCAGCGGCC